GACGAACGCUGGCGGCGUGCUUAACACAUGCAAGUCGAACGGAAAGGCCCCUUCGGGGGUGCUCGAGUGGCGAACGGGUGAGUAACACGUGGGUGAUCUGCCCUGCACUUUGGGAUAAGCCUGGGAAACUGGGUCUAAUACCGGAUAGGACCACGGCAUGCAUGUGCUGUGGUGGAAAGCUUUUGCGGUGUGGGAUGGGCCCGCGGCCUAUCAGCUUGUUGGUGGGGUGAUGGCCUACCAAGGCGACGACGGGUAGCCGGCCUGAGAGGGUGUCCGGCCACACUGGGACUGAGAUACGGCCCAGACUCCUACGGGAGGCAGCAGGUGGGGAAUAUUGCACAAUGGGCGCAAGCCUGAUGCAGCGACGCCGCGUGGGGGAUGACGGCCUUCGGGUUGUAAACCUCUUUCAGUAGGGACGAAGCGCAAGUGACGGUACCUACAGAAGAAGCACCGGCCAACUACGUG
rnacentral:rRNA from 1 species